rnacentral:tRNA from 1 species
GAAGGCCUGUAAAAUUUUAAUAUACAUCUCCUAAAUGCAACUCAGACGCUUUAAUUAAGCGAAAGCCUCC